UAUGACCCCUCAAAGCACCAGUAGCCCAGGAGGAGAAAAUCUCAGUACAUGCAAUUCUUAUUCCCCUGAAGUCACAGCUGUGUUUGCCACCGCAAUGACUCUCAUCAUGCUCUUCACCAUCUUUGGGAACAUCAUGGUGAUCAUCGCUGUCCUGACAUGCCGCUCUUUGCGAGGACCUCAGAACCUUUUCCUGGUGUCUCUGGCUGCGGCAGACAUCCUGGUGGCCACCUUGAUCAUCCCGUUCUCCCUGGCCAAUGAGCUGAUGGGCUACUGGUACUUCGAAUCGUUUUGGUGCGAGAUCAUCUUGGCGCUGGAUGUGCUCUUCUGCACGUCUUCCAUCAUACAUCUGUGCGCCAUCAGCCUGGACCGCUACCUGUCCAUCUCCCGGCCAGUGCAGUACGCCACCCAACGCACCCCUCGCAGGAUCAAGGCCGCCAUCGUGGUUGUGUGGCUCAUUUCCGCCGUCAUCUCUUUCCCCCCACUGGUCUCCAUGAAUAAGACCCAGGAGCAGAAGAAUGGGUGCGGCCCAGAGUGCAAACUCAACGAGGAUGUAUGGUACAUCUUGUACUCCUCCAUCGGGUCUUUCUUUGCCCCGUGCCUCAUCAUGAUUCUGGUGUACGUUCGCAUCUAUCAGAUUGCCAAAAAGCACACUCGAUGUCCUCCAGGAGAGCAAAGAAAAGACGGCGCAGGCAGCGUCACGUCGGGAGGGGUGGUGCAGAGCAGCAAAAUCCAGGGAGGUGUUGACUCUGUGAAUGAUCCCAAUCAGGCUGCUUCCAGAUCAGAAGCCAUAAACCAGCCUCAGGCUGCAGUAGAACGUCGGCAGCGGAUGAAACGCUCAAGGAGGUGCAAGGACAACAAAGAGGACAGCUCAAGCUCUGGCUCGGAUGUCGAGGUAGUAGGGGGACAUAAUGCCAAUGGGACAACCUCCAAUGUGGGGGCGCUGGAGCGCGGACACCAGACUUCCUCAAUGACCCAGCCUUACCAGAAUGUCAUCGCUACGUCUAAGGGCAGCCAGCUGGCCUCUUCCAACAUGAAACUAGCAGGAACUCCGAACACCAAGAGAAAAGCCAUGAUCAUCCGCGAGAAGCGUUUCACCUUUGUCCUCGCGGUCGUCAUUGGGGUUUUUGUCGUCUGCUGGUUCCCGUUCUUCUUCACCUACAGCUUGCAGGCCAUUUGUCCAAAGGCUUGUAAAGUGCCGGAUGCACUUUUUACAUUCUUCUUCUGGAUCGGCUACUGCAACAGUGCCCUGAACCCGCUCAUCUACACCAUCUUUAACAGGGACUUCCGUAAAGCCUUCAAAAAGAUUCUGUGUAAAAAGUGUAAGGACUGUUCUUUCUGAAAUCGAACACUCCUGAAAAGCAGUUUUAUAUAGUAAAGUGUUACUGUUUCCUUUAUAGGUGAAACUGUCCGAGUCGUCAUAUUUUACCCUAACUGUUUCACAUAUUGAUUUAUAGCAAUGUGACAUCAAAAUAAUGAAAAUGUAAAGGUGUUUUUGGCCAAAUUCUCGGUUUCAAAAAUUUCACUUUUGGAUUAUUUAUUAUAGUAAUUAAAUUUUAUAUUUUUCUAUUCCCCCCAUUUUACCUAAAAUAAAAUAAAAAUGCUUUUAUUUAUUUGCAAUAAAAAAUAUAAACAGUAUAUAAAUUAAGUUGUAAGAAUGAAAGUAGGCCUAUAUCUGACAUUUUAUUGAAUUACCAAAGUCUCUUUUUUUUUUUUUUUUUUUUUUUUCCCUUCUCAUUUUCCAAUCAAAGAAAGUAGCCAAUCGGUAAUCUCUGUGUGUGUAUCACUUUGCAUGUUCAGGAUUACCUUGAGUCUUUAUAAAUAUUUUUGGAUGGCAGGGUUUUAGAAAAAGCAUAUGGAAAUUUAUUUUUAUUUAUUUAUUUUUUUUGUCCUUUUAUUAUGUCAAAAUAUCUCAAAGCAAAAAUGCUGGACCACUAACAAUGAUUUUGUAUUUAAAGGCACAACAUGUAAGAUUUUCUGAUCCAAAAACCAUUAGAACAAUCAGAAUGUACAUACAUUAUCCCAAAUGUUUCCAAGAAUGUUUAAAUCCAGAGAAAUAAGCAAUUUUAACCAGGACACUGACCAUGUCCGUGCGUCGCCUAUCAAUGACAUCAUACCCACAUUACUCUCGAUUUCCAGUUUUAUAUUGUAGAAACCAUGGAAACACCAAAGAUGCUUUAUUAUGUGUUUUAUUAGACAGGUGAACAACUGUUUGGAUACAUUCAUCGACGGAAAACUAAUCAUGUUAUAUAGCUCAACACAGUAAGUCUUACUGUUUAAAUAUUGUUUUCUUGAUUUACCGCGAGUCCCAUGUUUUACCAUGACUAAUAUCAAUCUAGUUUACUGCAGUGUGCAACAAGUGUCUCAUAGUAGCCGCUGAGCGAACGCACAGAGUAGCACUAUAACAACUUUCAACACACAAAUGUAUCUAAUAUAAUAAAAAAUGUCGCGGCAUUACCCCACAUACGUUUGACUGGAAGAAGCGGAAGCAGCGACUGUGGCAUAAUAAAAGCUCCACUGCUCUCGAGCAAUGUGACGCGUUCGUCUCUCAUUAGCAAUCGCUCCAGUGGCCUCGUUUCUGCUCACAGAGCACUCGACCCUGCUCUGCUUCAUACUACAAUAACGUUAAAAAUCUCAUCCAUGAACAUGAUUUCUGCCCGAGUCACGUCCCGAUUCUUUUCCACCGGCUGUAGACGUGAAGACAACACCUCCCAUGAUUCCGCAAAAUCAAGGCGUCAUCAAGCUAUGCCUUUGUUUUUAAUAAGCAACCUCUAGUGGCCAAAAACUACAUAUUGUGCCUUUAAAGGGUUAGUUCACCCAAAAGUGAAAAUAAUGUCAUUUAUUAUUCACCCUCAUGUCGUUCUACUCCCGUAAGACCUUCGUUCAUCUUCAGAACACAAAUUAAGAUAUUUUUGAUGAAAUCUGAUGGCUCAGUGAGGCCUCUAUUGCCAGCAAUGUUACUGAACCUCUCAAGAUCCAGAAAGCUACUAAAGACAUAUUUAAAACAGUUCAUGUGAGUACAGUGGUUCAACGCGACGAGAAUACUUUUUGUGUGCCAAAAAAAAAAACAAAAUAACUUUUCAACAAUAUCUAGCAAUGGGCGAUUUCAAAACAAAAGAUUCGUAAAGCUCCGAAGCAGUGUUUUGAAAUCGGCCAUCACUAGAUAUUGUUGAAAAGUCCUUAUUUUGGUUUUUUUUUUUUUUUGCCGCACAAAAAGUAUUCUCGUCGCUUUAUGAUAUUAAGGUAGAACCACUGUACUCACAUGAACUGUUUUAAAUGUUUUUAGUACGUUUUUUGGAUCUUGAGAGGUUCAGUGACAUUGCUGGCUAUGCAGGCCUCACUGAGCCAUCGGAUUUCAUCAAAAAUAUCCUAAUUUGUGUUCUGAAGAUGAACGAAGGUCUUACGGGUGUGGAACAACAUGAGGGUGAGUAAUAAAUGAAAUUAUUUUCAUUUUUGGGUGAACCUAACCAUUUAAGCAAAAUAUAACUUCUUGCUUCUUUUGAUUUUGGGGUGAAAUAUGACCUUUUUUUUUUUUUUUUUGACUGGUUUUGAAAUUCAUUCUUAAGGAUAAAUACAUUUUUGAGAAUUGCACAAUGGCUUCCUCUUUAUUUAGACAUUUAAAUAACUUUUAUUUACUAUUCUCUUGAGAAUUUAAUGACUUUUAUUUCAUCAGCAGUUCCUUAUCUUGAACCGAGCAUAUUUAUCAGCGUCAGCACGCAUUCCAUUCGUUUUUGCAUUCUAUCAGCUGAGGUGCCACAUCACACAUGAGGAACUCACGUGAUUGUCGGGGUCUCUUUCUGGAAACUCUCUGGCCUUCAGGCUGUUUGUUGUGACCUUUCCAGUUUACUUUCAAAGACAAUGCGGCUCUUUCUUGGAGACACCUCUGGCUCCGCUGGAUAUGAGAAGAUUUCAGAGCACUUCACCUCUCUGGGAAAGUGCCAAAGCUCUUAAAACCCAAGAGAGGCUUCAUUCUCUGGGGUCCCUAUUUGUGACAACAUGCCCCACUAUUGGAGAUGUUUGCUGUUUUUGUAGCCAAGACUUUAAGGUAAAACGGAGAAUGAGUAAAAAUUGUUCAUUCACAUAUACUACCAACAUUGUAACAAUACAAAGUGGGUUGAAAAUCGGCAGAGUUACACUGUUCUUGACCAGUCAUCUUGCCAGCAGCAAUAUGGCAAUCAGAUGUUUGGGCUGUAGAAGAUGGACAAGGUAGUGUUUGUAACACCAGGUAGCGGAGAUGAUGGUCUUCAGAGAAAAAAAAAACUGUAAUUGAGCUCAAUCACUCAUGGAUGUCCGGCGGUCAAUCAGUGGGUUUCUUUGGAGACCUGAAACAUGUCUGCCUCAUCAGAAGCACCUGAGAAAAGAAUUCUCUGCACAUCCAGUGAAAUGGUGUUUUAAGAUGCUGAUAAAACUGGGGAUGUGUGAUAUAAAAUAAUUGUGCAAUGUGAUUUUGUCUGAGAUAUUUCCUUUAAUCUUGAAGUAGGUUGCUAAGCAGCUGUUAUAAGUGGCAUGUCAUUAUAAGCAUUGUCAGGUAGACUGUUAUUUUAAGGGGUUGUGUGUUUGUCAAGAUAAUGAUCCCGGGAAGAAACUGCCACUAAUGCAAAAGAAAUGGAAGGAAUCCAUCAAGUACAGAUUACAUGCUGGAGGAGGAAUUGAGAAGAAGAUGAGAAAUGGACAUCUGCUGGAAGUGGGAGAGGAAUGGCUUGGGGAGGAGGGAAAUCUCUGAAUGACAAAUUCGUAUGUCAGAGGUACUGUACAUAGAUAGGUAACGGGUUACGGAAGAGAUUUGCUGCCACAAUACGAUUUGCACAGAUCGGGUCAAAUGUUUAAGCUCAUACACAAAACCGCCAGUCACAGGAAGUGUGAAGUGAUUUGUGAAAUAUUUGGAAAUAUGAGUGAAAUCGAGAGAGAUAAUGACAGUUUACACCUCACUAGGCAUCAUCCAGUUCCCAAAUUGCUUCAUAAAUGGUAACAAAUGAACCCAUGAACUUUUGCAAAAUUAUGGCUAAAACAAACAGGGAUGUAGAUUCCUGAUAGGAUGUGGCAUUUAUCACAGUUAUUAGAAUGUUCAUACCCUUUAUGGGCUCCAUACAAUCAGUGUUGUUUUAGUAUUAUUAAUAAACUAUUUUAGAAUUUA